GCGAAAGUAGUUCAAUGGUAGAGCCCUGCCUUCCCAAGGCAGUUGUUGCGAGUUCGAAUCUCGUCUUUCGCUCCA
rnacentral:tRNA from 1 species